UACCAGCUCUCCGAGUGGUGUGGAUGUUUAUUGGGCCUAAAGCAUCCGUAGCUGGCUGGGCAAGUCCCCUGUUAAAUCCACCGAUUUAAUCGUUGGUGUGCGGGGGAUACUGUUCGGCUAGGGGACGGGAGAGGCCGACGGUAUUUUCGGGGUAGGGGUGAAAUCCUAUAAUCCCGGGAAGACCACCAGUGGCGAAGGCUGUCGGCUAGAACGCGCCCGACGGUGAGGGAUGAAAGCUGGGGGAGCGAACCGGAUUAGAUACCCGGGUAGUCCAAGCUGUAAACGAUGCAGGCUAGGUGUUUGGGCGGCCACGUGCCGCUCUAGUGCCGCAGAGAAGUCGUUAAGCCUGCCGCCUGGGGGGUACGGCCGCAAGGCUGAAACUUAAUGGAAUUGGCGGGGGAGCACCACAAGGGGUGAAGCUUGCGGUUUU
rnacentral:rRNA from 1 species